UAGGGAAUCUUCGGCAAUGGGGGGAACCCUGACCGAGCAACGCCGCGUGAGUGAAGAAGGUUUUCGGAUCGUAAAGCUCUGUUGUUAAGGAAGAACGAGUGUGAGAAUGGAAAGUUCAUACUGUGACGGUACUUAACCAGAAAGGGACGGCUAACUACGUGCCAGCAGCCGCGGUAAUACGUAGGUCCCGAGCGAUGUCCGGAUUUAUUGGGCGUAAAGCGAGCGCAGGCGGUUAGAUAAGUCUGAAGUUAAAGGCAGUGGCUCAACCAUUGUAGGCUUUGGAAACUGUUUAACUUGAGUGCAGAAGGGGAGAGUGGAAUUCCAUGUGUAGCGGUGAAAUGCGUAGAUAUAUGGAGGAACACCGGUGGCGAAAGCGGCUCUCUGGUCUGUAACUGACGCUGAGGCUCGAAAGCGUGGGGAGCGAACAGG
rnacentral:rRNA from 1 species